AAAUCGCUUUGGAUAAAAGCGUCUGCUAAAUGGCAUAUUAUUAUUAUCUCAGAACUUCUCUAGGUAAUAAAAAAAGGUGUGUUUUUCACCAACGUUUGUCAUCAUGCCCGUGUGCUGUUCUGGCUGUCUGUGCUAAUUACAAACAAGCACGAAAAUGAGGUAUCUUUCACCAUUCUACCUGCCAGAGAUUUACCCCGAUGCUGCCAGUGGGUUGCGGCUAUCAAUAAUUAUGCUUACGAUGACCAAAGAUUAUCAGAGUGAUUUUCAGGCUGAACAGAUGGGGAAUCCAUUUUAGACGACAGCUGAGAAGUGAUAUGAUACCAUCGUUUUCUCCCUUCACAACAGAAUGGAAGAUUCUCGAAAGAGGUGGUACAUAAUCUGAUUCCACCAGCCUGUGUUUCCAACCCCUAGCUCUGCAUAAAUUGAAGGUUAUCUGGAGGCCUUCCACAUGCCCUGCUGAAAAAUACCCUAAAGUGGGUACACGAGCAUGAGGGAGGGGACACACCUUGCAGUUAUGGAGCACAACAAGAUUGUGGGACAAAAACGAGAAAUGGACACUGUAUAAAAUCAAGACUACAACAGUAAUGACACAACCACCUCAUUCUUCUCUAUGCAGAUUCUCAAAAGACAAUACAAAGACACGUCUACAAAAAUCCCCUGCUACUAUUGACAAGAAUGAUCCUCAAUCUCCCAUACACCACAAUACAUAUUGUGUAAGAACUUCCCUCCUUUCACACCUUCUGCAGCCCCCCAGCCCAUUCACUUUGUUGACUGAUCUUUCCUCUCAAAAGCAGCUCCCAAUGGCCCUCAUUGUCCCUAAACAAUGCACUAGUCUGUCUCUAAACACUUAUGUCCCAAUCGGUUGACACCUUUACCAACAAAGGCAUUGCCCUACGUCCCUUCCACAAAAAGUGUAAAAUGGUAACACCACAACCAUGUCUUUCCAGGAGAUGUGCAGUACCAGCAAACCUUCUGCAAGAGGUCCAAACAGUUGGUGGUUAAGGUCUACGAGCCCUACACCACUUCCGGCAGUCUUAUCCAGCUGGCCGUACACUACAGACGGGACAAGACCAUUCGCCACAAGCGUUCUGCUUCCACAGCCCACCAUGCCUACACCAUUGCCAGUGUACCGAAGUUGGAUAAAGGACCAUAAAAUAAAAAUAUAUAUUUUCGAUCAAUCCUUGAAAUGUGUAUACCUUUAUGGAUUCACAGAAUAUA